rnacentral:rRNA from 1 species
CCGGCACGGGUGAGUAACACGUAUCCAACCUGCCGUCUACUCUUGGACAGCCUUCUGAAAGGAAGAUUAAUACAAGAUGGCAUCAUGAGUCCGCAUGUUCACAUGAUUAAAGGUAUUCCGGUAGACGAUGGGGAUGCGUUCCAUUAGAUAGUAGGCGGGGUAACGGCCCACCUAGUCUUCGAUGGAUAGGGGUUCUGAGAGGAAGGUCCCCACAUUGGAACUGAGACACGGUCCAA